rnacentral:lncRNA from 1 species
CUUUCUCUUUGUGGUAGCAAAAAAUUGGAAAAUGAGGGGUGUCCAUCAAUAAAGGAAUGGCUGAACAAAUUGUGGUAUCUGUGGGUGAUAUAAUACUUUUGUGUUAAAGGGAAUAAUGAACUGGAAGAAUUUCAUGUGAACUGGAAUGAUCCCCAGGAAUUGAUGCAGAGCAAAAGGAGCAAAACCAGGAGAACAUUGCACACAGAGACUGAUACAUGAUGGUACAUGCUUCCUUAUGCUUGGAGAAGGAGGAAGAAAAGAAAGAAGAAAAGGAGGAGGAAAACAGGAAGAGGAGAAAAGAGAAGGAAGAUACAGAUGAAGAAAGAAGAGGAGAAAAAAGGAGGAAGAAAAAAGAGGAGGAGGAAAAUAAAAAAGAAGUAAGAAAGAAUAAAGGAAGAAGGAAGAGGAAGAAGAGUUCAUUACAAAUGUAAUUAAUGCUAUAGUAAAUGUGUCAAUUGUAUAUAAUGUAAAUUGAAAAUGUAUUAUAAUAAAAAAAUUUUUCCUUUCA